AACAAACGCUGGCGGCGUGCCUAAUACAUGCAAGUCGAACGGGGAAAGCUUUCGGGUGAGUACUAGUGGCGCACGGGUGAGUAACGCGUGGAUAAUCUGCCUUAGAGUGGGGGAUAACUAGUCGAAAGAUUAGCUAAUACCGCAUAAGACCACAAGAACUGCGGUUCAAGGGGUCAAAGGUUUUUCGCUCUAAGAUGAGUCCGCGUAAGAUUAGCUAGUUGGUAGGGUAACGGCCAACCAAGGCGACGAUCUUUAACUGGUCUGAGAGGAUGAUCAGUCACACUGGAACUGAGACACGGUCCAGACUCCUACGGGAGGCAGCAGUAGGGAAUAUUGCACAAUGGAGGAAACUCUGAUGCAGCGACGCCGCGUGAGUGAUGAAGGCCUUCGGGCCGUAAAGCUCUGUCGCAGGGGAAUAACACAAUGAAGGUACCCUGUAAGAAAGGAUCGGCUAACUUCGUGCCAGCCGCCGCCGUAAUAC
rnacentral:rRNA from 1 species